rnacentral:rRNA from 1 species
UUUGCGGUAGGCCUACCAGGCGACGACGGGUAGCCGGCCUGAGAGGGUGUCCGGCCACACUGGGACUGAGAUACGGCCCAGACUCCUACGGGAGGCAGCAGUGGGGAAUAUUGCACAAUGGGCGCAAGCCUGAUGCAGCGACGCCGCGUGGUGGAUGACGGCCUUCGGGUUGUAAACCCCUUUCAGCAGGGACGAAGCGCAAGUGACGGUACCUGCAGAAGAAGCACCGGCCAACUACGUGCCAGCAGCCGCGGCCGA